AUGGCGACGAGCAAGGAAGACAUCAAGCACGGCACGGCCCAGGCGAGGUUGACCGUGGACGACGAGCUCAGGACCGGCUACUUCAACGGCACGCCGCUCGAGGGCGGCAAGAUCGCCGACUCCGACCCCGUCGACCUCUUCGCCCAGGCGCGACACGUCGCCGACGCCUCGCAGCAGCAGCCGCGGCGUGAUCUAGGGGAGGAGGAAGGGAGGAAGGCUGGGUCGGAGGAGCCGCGGGCGCAGGCGCGGCAGGGGAUGGGCGCCGGUGGACGUCAGCUUGGGCGCCAGUAG
rnacentral:rRNA from 1 species